GCUUCGUUGCGGAAGCAAAUUGGCAAAUUGGCAAAUUUAACAUGUAUUUUUAGCACUUUAUGCUAAUUGGAGAAAAUGGAGCAACGUCUGAAAUGGAGCACUGUCUGUAUUCAAAUACGAUAUCAGCACAAUGUAAACCAUUUAACUAAAAUUAUAUAGAAAAUGUUGCUGCUAAAACACUAUUUCUGAUGGCUUUCUCGUGUAUAUAGAUGACCGAUCGACCAAUAAAUUAAACACCAAGCGAUAACUAUAUCGAUUUGAUCAAUAGGAUAAUAAAAAUAUGUUUACAAUGAGAGGAUCAAUGAGUACUUGAGUCUGCUGUGCAGAGUUUACACACCAUCAUUUGGAUCUUGAUCCGCUAGUGCCGAGGCUGUCUGCGCCUGCGCCUGCGCCUGUGCUGCUGUCCAUGCAUAAAGAAUUAACGGUACACAGAGUAGUCCAUAGAGCCGAGUCCUUGGCUUGCCGUGUUUCUUGGGCCUCAUCUUACGACAACAUUGCCACCAGUUGCUGUUCAAUUCGGAAGUUAAAUUCAAGUUCAAUGUCAGCUGACCAAAAUGCAACCGGUUUCGCAAUAACUUCUCCAAAUUAAUUCAACGUAUCGAACAGUAUUAACCCCUUAUAUAAGGAAGCAGCUCGUUUAAGUGCAAUGCGCACAUUAAUAAACUUUAGGCGUGAAUCAAUAAAAAUUUGCAAAAAAAAAAAAAAAAAAACAAUAACAACUUUUUGUAUGUAUGUAUGUGUUCGAGCCAUGAGUGUAAUCGACAGUUGAACUUGUCACAUUGAGUACAGGUGUCAAUUUUAAAAAUGCAUUAAAUUAUAACAAAGGUAAAAUUCAUACAAUUUGACCCGAAGAAGGAGAGAGAGAGAGAGAGAGAGAAGAGAGAGAGAGAGAGAGAGAGAGAGAGAGAACAACAUAAUUCAAAUGCAUUUAUAAUUAAAUAAUUCCUGACUCAUCUUAUUCUCUCACUAUAUGUUUCUGGAAUCAAUUUGCUUUUCGAAUCCGUAUUAUUCCGUAAUCGGUAAAUAAGUGAAACAUCCUACCAAAUUCUACCAAUACAUAGAAAGUUUUGUUUAGGAAUCUUCAGAGCAAUUGACUGUUGUAAAGAUAACAGAGACGUAAUUUCCCAAAUAGUUUACCAUCCAUUUAGAAGUAGACUGGAAUAUCUAUAUGAGCUGGCAUAUUAAAGUGCUGGAGGUAUGUCAUAGCCGGUUAUCCUAACACAACAUGUUCAAAUUAGUAAAGCUGAUUAAAGUUCCCCAUAAAAUGUUUAUUAAGUCAAAUUGAUAUUUUUCCCAAAAUACAACAAGUUAACCCAUGUCCAUAUGAGAUAUUACAACAAAAUUUAUAAAUAUCGAGGCACAGCUUGCAUGCCUUGCAUAAUGUGAAUAACCACAAAUCAUGUUCUAUAUUUUAUGGUCCAUGUAGUAAUCAUGCACGCAGUUACAAUUUUCUUCUAUAUAAAAUCUAUAUAUAUAUAUAUCUUCUCUGAGCUCUACAUUGUAAGUAAUAAUUUGUUAUAAUUUCCCGAAAGAUACCGAGUUUGUUUAUUUCCGCGAAUAUAAUAAAUAAGUGAAGACUCAAAAUGUUUUCUACUCACUUAGCUAAAUGUUUAUGCAGUAAUUAAUCAAGUUUAUUAUUUUCUUAUUAUCUUAAAACUAAAUAUAUGCAUAAUAUAUAGAUAGAUAUAUAUUAAUAUUAUGCUUUAAUAUACACAAUAUGACUCAAGUUCUUGGCAAAAGCCUUGCAAGUGAA